rnacentral:rRNA from 1 species
UACGUAGGCAGCAAGCGUUGUUCGGAGUUACUGGGCGUAAAGGGUGUGUAGGCGGUCUUCUAAGUUUGGUGUGAAAUCUCCCGGCUCAACUGGGAGGGUGCGCCGAAAACUGGGAGGCUAGAGUACUGGAUGGGAGAGUGGAAUUCCUGGUGUAGCGGUGAAAUGCGUAGAUAUCAGGAGGAACACCGGUGGUGUAGACGGCUCUCUGGACAGUAACUGACGCUGAGACACGAAAGCGUGGGGAGCAAACAGG